AUGACCUGCAAGGAGGCCUGUGUGGCUAAAAUGCAAUGACCACGGAGAAAGCACAGAAGAUGAAUGCUGAGAAGUAAAAGGGAAUGAGAGAAUAUGUCAACGUUGUUUCUCACUUUGAUGGGCAUUUGAAUCACCCGAGGCUCUUAGUAAACUACAGAUUGUGAUUCAGUGGCCCUGGGGUUGGUUCUGAGAUUCAGCUGAUGUUGCUGGUCUGCAGACCAUCCUUUGAGUCAUAAAGUUAGGACAAUUACAAGAAUUUAGUUUGUCCUCUGAAUGAGAUGCGAAGUUUUUAGAAAGCUUUAAGCAGAGUGACAUGAUCUUACUUAUAUUUUUAAUGGAUUACACUGACUGCUGCUUGGAGAAUUGAUUCUGGUGGGAAAGCUUGGAAGCAGGGAGACUAUUUAGGAGGCUACUGCAAAAUUUCAUACAUCAAAGUCAAGAGUGCAUCAGUCAGGAUUUGAAUGCGGGUCAGAAUUAAAACCCCUAAUAUAAAAGCAUUUAUAAUAUUAGUCCCCGAUUUAAAUAAUUACACUUUUGUCUCUUCUCCAACAGAGUCUCAAUAGGUACAGACCACAUCCAUAGCUCUCAUUUUACAACUCAGUUAAUUAAAACCUAAACGUUAAUUUUUUUAGAGUAUCACAGAUAGCAAUUAGUAACAAAAGUGGCUCUUAGAUAAGCUGCCAGUUAUUUGAAAUCAAAAUAAUUAUGAUGCUUGCAACAGUAACCUGUUGACAGAAGGAACUGAGUUAAAAUAAUGAAAAAUUUUCAAAAUACUCCAUGAUCACCAUCCAUACUUACUUCAAUAGUCUUGAAGCAUCAUAACAGUCAAUGGUUUCUCUGUAAUUAUUAACAAUAUAAAAUUAUAUUUACCAUGAUUUCAAUGCUAAAUGUUCUCAUGUGUAGUUAAGAAUUGAAAACAGUUAACCUCAUUAAGUGAUUCUUAACCUACUAUGGUCAAGGAACCCUUUGAUAAAAUUAUAAAACCUGUAACCCUCUUCUCUUAAGCAUUCACAUAAAAACAUACAUACAAAAAUGUUCUUACUUUUUCAGUGGGGUUCAUGAACCCAUUGAGGUGCAGAUUGCACAAAACAGAUUUAAGGUAACCUGUUUAUCAACUUGAAUAUUUCAGUAAUGCAAUACAUCUUUUCCUUACCAUGCUGAAUAAACAGUUCUCUACUUUUCUUUUUUUUUUUUUUUUUUUUUUUUUGAGAUGGAGUCUCGCUCUGUCGCCCAGGCUGGAGUGCAAUGGCGCGAUCUUGGCUCACUGCAAGCUCCGCCUCCCGGGUUCACGCCAUUCUCCUGCCUCAGCCUCCCAAGUAGCUGGGAGUUCUUUACUAUUAAUAUGCAUGCCAAUGCAUAUUCCUGUGAUUACUAGCCUUUGGCCAAAUAGUGCCUGAAUAAAAUGAGAAUCAAGAUGAUAUUGAGAUGUUUUCUUACCAGAUACCUCUUCCCCAAGGGGUACAAAGAGUGUGGAGAACGUGGCAUAUGAAGGAUAAUUUGAGUGCAAGAGUAGAGCCGGGGGAUUGUAGAUUAGCAUUAUCACAGGCUGCCCACUAAGCAAUGGCUCUUUAUCCCAGUUGCUAUCAUAACCUUAUACACAGGGGAAAGGGUGGAAUUAGAAGUAACUUGGUGCUAUGCUAGUAAGCAGUAGGGAAAAAGCAGAAUCUUAUCAGGAUAAAUGGUACAAAAUCCAUAUGUCAUUUUCCAUUCUCCAGAAUCAGCCUUGUAAUUCUACUAAAUUUACAACUCUAAAUAAAGUAUUCUGAU
rnacentral:lncRNA from 1 species